GGAGAAUGCCAGGUGACACCAGAGGCAGAGACCAGAGUGAUGCAGCUACAAGUCAAGGCACCAAGAAUGGCUGGCGGCCCCAGAAACUAGGAGAGAGGCAUGGAAGGCCCUCCCCUAGAGCCUUCAGUGAGAGCAUGGCCUGCUCACACCUUGAUCUUGGACUUCUAGUCUCCAGAAUGAGCCUGGAAAGCUAAAUACUUGAUUUUUCUAGACACCUGCCAUAGAGUGGCCAUAGGACCCUGUUGUGGCCAACAGGACGUAAGCGGAGAUCUACUUGGGAAGGCUUUCACUCUUGGAAAGAAGAAGGGAUUUUGCCCUCUGCCUUCUUCCUACAUGGAAAACAGAUGUCUGGAAGUGCAGCAGCUAUCUUACUCACAGAGCUGGAAGGGUCCUCGAGAGAUCACUCCGUCUGUCUCCCUGUCUUGAAACGAGAAAACAUCUAAGCCACCAGCUGGCGUGGAGCAUCCGUGCAGAGCGUAGUGGGAAGCAGGAUGGAGGAGCUCGGGGAGGCGAGAACACAGCGCCUGCUCAGCGGAAGGGCAGGGGGACAGGGCAGGGAGGUGGGAGAGGGCUGCAGGCUGGGGGCUGUUGGCUGAGCCCCCGCUGCAAAGUGCAGAGGGUGCAGGAGCCGGAGCGCAGUGCAGGCUGCAUCGGCCUAUUUUUAAGAGGACUCCUGUGUGAGGAGCCCACACUGUUGAGAAAUCAUGGGAUUUGAAAUCAAGCCAAGUCUCUGAGAUGUUUGUACCCCUGAGCCAUAGAUCCCUUCCAGUGGCCCUUUCUGAAAACCCCAGUGUUGUUUGGGGCGGUUUCAUUUUGGUCAGAAGACAUUAAAGUGUGAAGAUAAAAGCAACG
rnacentral:lncRNA from 1 species